rnacentral:misc_RNA from 1 species
GAUGAAGAACGUAGCGAAAUGCGAUAAGUAAUGUGAAUUGCAGAAUUCAGUGAAUCAUCGAAUCUUUGAACGCACAUUGCGCCCCUUGGUAUUCCGAGGGGCAUGCCUGUUCGAGCGUCAUAUUAACCACUCCCGCUUGCGGGGUCUUGGGCUUCGCCUCCGGGCGGGCCUUAAAAUCAGUGGCGGUGCCGUCGGGCUCUACGCGUAGUAAAUUUUCUCGCGAUAGGGUCCCGGUGGAUGCUUGCCAACCACCCCCAACUUCUUAAGGUUGACCUCGGAUCAGGUAGGGAUACCCGCUGAACUUAAGCAUAUCAAUAAGCGGAGGA